rnacentral:rRNA from 1 species
GAUGAACGCUGACAGAAUGCUUAACACAUGCAAGUCGAUGGGGAAGUGGUGCUUGCACCAUGGUAACCAUGGCGGACGGGUGAGUAACUCGUAAGGAACUUACCUGCGGGACCGGGAUAACAGCAGGAAACUGCUGACAAGACCGGAUAAGGUCAUUAAGCUGCAUAGUUUAGUGAUGAAAGGAGACGCCUGCGGAGAGCCUUGCGUCCUAUUAGCUAGUUGGAGGGGUAACGGCCCACCAAGGCGAAGAUAGGUAGCCGGCCUGAGAGGGUGGACGGCCACAAGGGGACUGAGAUACGGCCCUUACUCCUACGGGAGGCAGCAGUGGGGGAUAUUGGACAAUGGGGGCAACCCUGAUCCAGCAAUUCUGUGUGCACGAAGACGGUUUUCGGAUUGUAAAGUGCUUUCAGCAGGGAAGAAGGAAGUGACGGUACCUGCAGAAGAAGCGACGGCUAAAUACGUG